GUUCGAGGACUACAAAAAACACUCGGAUUGUAGGCAACAGUUUACUUCCUGGGAUUAGUGACGUAGAUAAGACCAACAUUAUCAUAGUUCAGCCCUCUCUGCUUUGCUUGGGUACGCCCUCAAAGACGGGGGUGGGGAGCGCCGAGUCAGAAGAGGGCUAAAAUGGCGGAGGUUGUGAGUCCCUGCUUUGACUCUGUUUGCAAACUCUUGUUUCAUUGUUUAAGCGAUUAAAUCUCUCGAGUAGACGCUGUCUCUUUAGAUGCGAGGGAAAAAUAGCACUUUAUGGACUUCCACAGAGGACAUCAUGUUUAAUACGGUUCCGGAAAAAUCCAGUCAGAAGUUGUUCACGGAGUUUUCACAAUAACUGCUUCUCAUGAACCGAAGCUGGAUUUGCGCGAUGUCUCCUCUUGAAAGUUGGAUUACUGUGCACUUCUGGAUCACAGGCUAUUCGCAGCUGGACACAUCCUUCUACACUGUAUGCAAACAUGCAACAUCAUUACACACAGUACAAGGAGUCAGACUGGCAUAUGAGGAGCAAAGGAACCCAGGCAGUAGCAUCGUUUCACAAUGUUUCAAUCACCAUCAUCAGUGGAUGCCUUUGCUGUCCGUAGCCUGAGAUUUCAGAUUUGCAGCAAAAAAUUUGAUUUUCUCAUUUAUUGGAAUGCUGUGCAGGUAUUUAAG